GAUGGUGUCAAUGACGUGGGUGUUCACCUCUUUCCAUUCCGAACAGAGCAGUUAAGCCCCACAGUGCUGAUGGUACUGGGUUAACCCCGGGAGAGUAGGUCGACGCCACAU
rnacentral:rRNA from 1 species